rnacentral:rRNA from 1 species
UUAUGGACCCACCUGAUCCCAUGCCGAACUCAGAAGUGAAACGUAAUAGCGCCGAUGGUAGUGUGGGGCUUCCCCAUGUGAGAGUAGGACAUCGCUAGGC